CGUUACAACAUGUUGUCUAUCCAUCCAUCAGUGAAAGUAUCCACGUUUGCUACAGCUCUUGCAUAGAAUCUGGAAAAGGUACACAUGUGAUCUUGACAAAUGACUCAAAAGCAAUACUUCAGGACACUGUAUACUGAUCUGCAGUCUAACCCAGGGCCUGGAGAUGAGGAAAGAAGCAGACACUGACCCUGCCUCCUGGAGACCAACGCUUUCAGCCAUUGAGAGCCCGGUGCUUUUGUAAGCACGGAGGAGAGACGCUGGAGACCAUCCAGAACCAGGCUCUGUGAAACGAAGCCCGAGGCCAAAGAACCACUCCGCACAAUUGAGAGGAGAGAAAAGGAGGCCCUUGAUCGCAGUGAGUCAGACUGUGACAGGGCCCGCUUUGGGGUGGUGGGCAUAGCUUAGCUGACGGAGUGACCGCCCAGGACGUGUGUUACUGAUGCUGUAGAGGCUGACACGUGGCUGCCCAGGUAGGGCUGGGGGAGUGCGUGGGCCAAGCGCACCCGGAGAUGUGGCCGAUAGCCUGGUCUGUCCUCAUUGCUCUGUGUUCUCAUCCGUCUCUGUCUUCAGUAGACAAACACAGCUUUCUUUUUUCUUGAAAGCUUUGAGUUUUUACUUCAAUAUUUCACAUCCCAGUCCUGAGCUGUUCCUGACAAUGAAGCCGAGACCAUGACGUCUCUGAUUCUUCACAGGUGUCUCCAAGCUACAGAAUUUCAGAACCUAAGUGUAUUGGAGCCAAGGCCACAGGGGAAUUUGAGCACAACGUCCAUCCAUGCCUGGUUAGACCUUAUCCUCUCCAUUAGCUCGGCUUCCUCAUUUUUAAGACAACUGUACCUGGGACUUCUCUGGAGUCCAGUGGGUUGAGACUUGGCCUUCCAAUGUAGGGGGUGUGCGUUUGAUCCCUGGUCAGGG